rnacentral:lncRNA from 1 species
GAAGAAAUACAGACAAGAACUAUUAAAAUUUAAUUUUGUUUGUCUUUGCAUUUUCAGAUAAUAUUUACAGACAACCAAAAAAAAAAUCUUAACUCUAAUUGUUUUUAUUGCAUGCGAUUACAAGCAUUUAUUUCUCUUUUCACAACAAUUGUCAUGUUCUUCAUUAAUAUUGUCAACUCAAUUAUGUCUUUCAAAACAUGUUUAACUUAAUUCAUUUUUGCUCCUCAACCAUUUUAGGAAAACUCUUAUCACUUGCCGUUUUCCGCGUUCUGUUGUCGUUUUCAAACAAAUUUCCGGAAAUGCACGAAGUUGCAUGUGAUAAACGUCACGGAAAUUAACGGAAAGGCAUGUGAUAACACACCGGAAGCAGUCAAUAAAGGUACCUUUAUCAGCCCGCUAUUGAAAUUCCAAGGAAUCUGGUCAAUAGACCUAGUAAUCCUUUCAUAGCCUUUUGAUAUUUUCAAAUGUUAUUGAACUGUAAAAUUUUAGUAAUAUUUUAUACAAGUAUAUGAUAA